UACGUAGGGACCGAGCGUUGUCCGGAUUCAUUGGGCGUAAAGAGCUCGUAGGCGGCUGCUCAAGUCGAAUGUGAAAACUCGAGGCUCAACCUCGAGCCUGCAUUCGAUACUGGGCGGCUAGAGUCUGGUAGGGGGAUCUGGAAUUCCUGGUGUAGCGGUGAAAUGCGUAGAUAUCUGGAGGAACACCGGUGGCGAAGGCGGCAUCCUGGACCAACACUGACACUGAGGAGCGAAAGCCAGGGGAGCAAACGGG
rnacentral:rRNA from 1 species